CGCCCCUGUGCCCCUCCCUCUCCCCAGGCCCCUCCCGUCCGGAGCUGCCAACCCUGGCCGAAGCCAGUCGGAGAGUGAGUGGCCUGGAGGACUGCGGGUACCAGUGUUAGUAGACGGUGACUGGCAUCCUUUAAGGCACGGAAUUCUUUUUGAAAUUUUACUGGGCAUCGAUGACCCGCGUACCCAAAGUGGAAGUGGACAGACCCUCUCGAAGAAGCCUAGGGACGGCCGCAGGGAGGGAAAGGAGGGCUGAGAAGAAACCUGCCGGGACCAAAGGUGCACACCCGCGGCUGGGCUCAGAGGCUCCCGCCCUAGGGGUGGGUCCCGGGCGAACGCAGAGGACUCCGCCCCAGGCCCACGCUGCUGCCGGCUUCCCCGUUCCGCACGGCGCGGGGGCGGGGCCGAGGGCGGGGCCAGGCGCGGCACAUGCGCUCAGAGCCCCGGGAUGCACCCGCCCUGCAGCGCCGCUAGAGCCCGGCAGAGGGCGGCCGCCUCCUUCUUACCAGCCCGCCGGCUUCGCGGCCGCGGGAUUUCACCUCCUCCGGGCCGGCCUCCUGGCCCCGCCCCCAAGAGGCGUCCCCCGGGAGCUCAAGGCUGAGGGGGCUGCUGCGGCAAGAUGGCCUCUGCCUUACUCUGGAGGGAUACGCCAAGAAGAGGCAAGGAUAAGCUCAGCGCCAACUUUGCUUUCAUCACCGCUCCAUCCCCAAAGCCCAAAACAGCCCCUUCAUAUAAUAGGCACUCAAUAAAUGCUUACUGAUGGAAUCAAAUGGAUGGAUGGCUACAUGAAUAAACAGAAGACUCCA